rnacentral:lncRNA from 1 species
GACCUUUCCUUUUCCAAAGCAGUAUCAUCAUCUUCCUCUUCAAUCUGGGUCAAUGCCUUAAAUCGGGAUCCCGAGAAACCCCCUCCAGGGGUAUUCUUUCUAAGUUUACGAGAUUCUCUUGGUUGUCUCCUGAUUUUUCACUCCAUUAUCAUCCAAGGUCCAAAUGGCCCUUCAUCCACCACAGUACCAGCAUCCGCCAUAGCCAUAUCUGCCGUUAAAUUUUUUCCGACCGGAGUAGUCACAACCUCUUUCGCCUAUGUACAAGUUUCCUUAAAAUGACCGUACCGCCCACAAGAGAAACAAACCACCGGUAACGAUUCAUAUUCGAUGCGUUGAAUAUUUCCAUUAAUUAGGACCUGUGAAAGCAAAGGUUUUCCCAGAUUAACGUAAACAGCCAUACGAGCAUAUUUUCCUCUCGCUUUGCUAUCCGUAUUGAAAUCCAAUUUUGCAAUCUUGCCAACCAUUCCACUAAUUUCCCACAGUAUUCUCUUUUUGUACAAAUGUCCUGGAAGACCCGGGGAUUUGAUCAAGGUCAUUACCACAUUCGGGUAAGGUUGUGCGAGAUUAAACUCUGUUGUCUAGGGUUGUACAGUCAGAUAUUGACCGUAAAUGAUCCAUGGUCCUUGGGUUAAAACCGUCUCAUAAUCCUCUGAAUUCUUGAAUUUCAUCAGGAAAUAUCCGUUCUCAAUAUCCAUCAAUUGGGAUGACAUGGAAGGCUUCCGAAAUCCAUUAAUCUGAUUUUGGAGUGCUGCAAAUCUAAUGUUUUGCCCCAACAACUUAAGCACCACUCAGGUAGACAUUUCUUUGAUUAAAAGUUGAUUAACCCGAUCCAAAAACUCAAUCGAUGGAACUCCGUUAACAGAUGACCUUUUGAUAUCUCCAUCAAGAAAAAGCAAAAUCAUCAUCCGUUUCAAGACUAACCACUUUACUCCCCCUUUUUGAUCAUGCAAUCUUUUACCGAAAAGCUUCUCUUUCUAGGAUAACGACGAUAAAGGAUUCGAAUCAACAACCAUCUCUGGAUCCGACCUUGAAUCUGUCUCUUUAAACCGCACCUUUUUAGUAUUCCGAUCACCAACAGAACAGGAACCAUCCCCAUUGUCACCACAGAGAGAAUUCGACAUCUUCUAUUUCAAUUCUAAACACAAAUUUCUGUUUAAAAUACAUAAAACUAGUUAAUUUAUGAAUAAUAUAUAAUUUAGCCCCUG